GCCGCCCUCCCCCCAACAGUCUAGUUCACUGGGGGUUCAGUCUUAGCAGGACCCAGGCCUUCCCCUUCCACUGGUGCUCUUAUUAAGAUAUUCAUUGCUACCUAUGAGGUCAGAGUCCAGGGUCAGUCCAUAUAUAGUCUUUAGGUAGUGGCUUAGUCCCUGGAAGCUCUGGUUGCUUGGCAUUGUUGUACAUAUGGGGUCUCGAGCCCCUUCAAGCUCUUCCAGUUCUUUCUCUGAUUCCUUCAAUGGGGGUCCUAUUCUCAGUUCAGUGGUUUGCUGCUGGCAUUCGCCUCUGUGUUUGCUGUAUUCUGGCUGUGUCUCUCAGGAGCGAUCUACAUCUGGCUCCUGUCGGUCUGCACUUCUUUGCUUCAUCCAUCUUGUCUAAUUGGGUGGCUGUAUAUGUAUGGGCCACAUGUGGGGCAGGCUCUGAAUGGGUGUUCCUUCAGUCUCUGUUUUAAUCUUUGCCUCUCCCUUCCCUGCCAAGGGUAUUCUUGUUCCCCUUUUAAAGAAGGAGUGAAGCAUUCACAUUUUGAUCAUCCAUCUUGAGUUUCAUUUGUUCUAGGCAUCUAGGGUAAUUCAAGCAUUUGGGCUAAUAGCCACUUAUCAGUGAGUGCAUACCAUGUAUGUCUUUCUGUGAUUGGGUUAGCUCACUCAGGAUGAUAUUUUCCAGGUCCAACCAUUUGCCUACGAAUUUCAUAAAGCCGUUGUUUUUGAUAGCUGAGUAAUAUUCCAUUGUGUAGAUGUACUACAUUUUCUGUAUCCAUUCCUCUGUUGAAGGGCAUCUGGGUUCUUUCCAGCUUCUGGCUAUUAUAAAUAAGGCUGCGAUGAACAUAGUGGAGCACGUGUCUUUUUUAUAUGUUGGGGCAUCUUUUGGGUAUAUGCCCAAGAGAGGUAUAGCUGGAUCCUCAGGCAGUUCAAUGUUGGAAACAUUUUUAAUGUUAGAAACUCUACAGUUGAAAGAAGCCUUAAUUAUCAGUGGCUUUAUGAUACAAAGUUAGAAACAAACAAGGAAAACGUGUGUCCUAGUUUUCUCUCUGUUGCUGUGAUAAAACGCUCUGACUAAAAUAACCAGGGAUGGAGAGGUAUUACACCUACAUUCAUGAAGGAAAUCAAGCAGGAACUGAAAUAGAAGCCAUGGAGGAAGACUGCAUACUGCCUCGCUCUCCUGCUCCUGCUCAGCUAGCUUUCUAAUAUAGCCCAGAACCUUCUGCCUAGGGAUGGGUACCCCCUCAACAGUGGAACUGGCCUUCCUACAUCAAUGAGCAGUCAAGACAAUUCCCCACAGGCUAAUCUGGUUGAGUCACUUCCCAGUCAAAAUUGCCUCAGAAAACUCUAGGCUGUGUCAAGUUGACAGCUGAAGCUAAGGAGACUUCACACCUUGGCGACCUGAUAAAUAAACACAUCACCUUUCCUUUAUUUAUCUGCAUUAUUUCAUAUUAAUAUCAUGAUAUAAAAUACAGUACAACUUUAAGAGUCCUAGAGUCUUUAAAAAUUCCAAUACUUUAAAAACUUGAUGUAUUUAUAGGUAUUAGAAGUCAUUAGAAGUUGGUUUAAUACUGAAUCUAUUUAGCAGUAUAAUAGUAGUAGGUUCUCCUCUAGGCCUACAACCUGUCUAGCUAAAGGUGGUUGGACCAGUAAUAGCACCAGUUACAGGGUUCAUCUUGUGGAAUGGGACUUACAUUCGAGGAGAAAGUGGUUGAUUUCCCAUGAUGUCAUGCCACUAGUGCACCAGUGGGCAUGCCUCCUCAGGCUGUUAUUAUUGUAGUUCACAUUACCCUCCUCUUCCAGCAGCCUGUAGAGACCUUCUAAUGUCCAAUAGGAAUAAGCUACCAAGUGAAUACCAGGUUGAUUUUUUCAUGUUCUGUAACUAAGUAUGUGGUGUCUACAGCAAUAGGGCUUUAUCAUCAGAUUCUAGAAGUUGCCAGUAGCAUUGGUAAAGACUUUUAAUGGAAUGCUAAGACAAUUAGAUGCCUUCCUGUAUCAGUUAGCAAUCAAGAAAAUACCCGGCAGGCAUUCCCAAAUGCCAGUGUGAUUGAUGCACUCUCCUACUUGAGACUCCUCAAGGUAACUUUGUGCUGGGCAGAGUUGACAGCUCUUGCUACCUAGAAGUGAGUAAAGACAGAUAAAAGUUUGUUUUGUCUGAGUAGCUUUCUGGUAAUUAAGUUCUUAUUAAGAUUAAGGCAGUUCACAGAUAAUGUUCCCUUGAGUGUUGUUAAACAGCCAUCACUUUGGAGAAAUGUUUCUUAGAGGUUAGAUUUCUAGCUUUCAAGAUUUUACGUUAUAUGUUUAUGUAUUAUAAGAAAUUACAGGACUAUCUUGAUUAAUCUGAGUGUUUUUAUUGAAAUAAAUCUCGACUGUGACAAAAAAACAGACAAAAACCAAAACCCGAAACAAAAUAAAAACCAACCCAGAUGAGAUUGUGUAAAUAAGGCUCCUGAGGGCCAGUGAAAGGGCCAGGUCCAUACAGAGGAAAAAGACCAAAGAUGCUAUUUUUUGUGUCGCAAAAUUUUUAUAAUAUUAGCACUUUCUGAAACAAAUUUCAAUCCAAUGGGUAUGGAUUCCGAGUGUGGUUUUGCAAUGUGACUCAAAAGGCAUUUAGCAAUUGGUUCCAGAGUGACAAGGGGCACUCUCACAGGCAGAACAUUUGACUACUGGGAAAAGGUCCCUGGUCCAGCUCUAGGCACCCUCUGAGGAACUUUAGUACUGGUGUCCUGUGGUAAAUUCCAGUGUGUCGUCAGCUUGAUUCAUUGUAUCUUUCAGGUUGAGGGUGUAGAAGUAUUUCUCAGUGCCCUCUUUUGCUCCCAAAUAACUGUAGGCAGUUUCUACAUCCACGUAACUCAUGUAGAUCCCAAAUAAAAGACACGGAGACCUGGUACUUUUAUUAACAUGCUCCUGGCACUCUGCUGGACAGCUUCUGAGCGACUGUAACCCUCUAAGGCUAUCAGUACCCAGACACAUGCCCUGUCACUUGCCAUCUCAGUCUCGCCUUGGCUCUCUCUGCUCUAUGUGUGUGCUCUCUCAUCCUGACCUCACGGUGAAUCCUCCUGGUGGCUCCACGUGGUCUCUCCACACCUUUCUUCUCUUCCUGCUCCUCUCUCUAGCCAGGACCCUCUCACUGGGAUCUGAUGUUCCACCUCUAGUGUCCUCUCCUGCCCAAUCAUAGGCUGAUCAGCUCUUUAUUAUCAAUCAAUCAGAGCUGAGGGAAAACAAUUUUUACAUAACAUUGAGACUGGAGAUGCUUGACCAGACCAUUAUCUGUACUGUAAUCAGAUGUCUGGGCACAAAAAUCAUCUGAAUAUACAGUAUGCAAGACCAACCCCCAACAGAGGGGCCCUUCAGAGAGCCAUGGGAGGGAAACCAAGGCAGAAGAGACAGUUCGGACGGAGUCUAGCCUAUCUUCUUGACUGGAGAAGUAGAAUGUUUCAGAACAAGAAAUAUGGUUUUAGGACGUGGUCAUGUUUUGUGUUUCCCUAUGUAGCUAUGGCUGUCCUGAAGCCCACUAUGUAGAACACUUUGGAGAAAUCACAGAGAUCCAGCUGCCUCUGCUUCCCACACACUGGGGUUAAAGACAAGUGCCACCAUGUCUGGCCAACAUCGUGUGCUAAGCAUAGUGUAGACUAAGGAAGGCUUUCUCUUCUAGUCUUUUCCUCAAGUAUACAACACGGAAGUGCAGACUAAACAUGAAAGUUGUUAAAUGUGUGUGAAUUCCAGAAUGGCCUUGGGGUAUGGUGACAUGUGCUUAUGUCACACCUGUGCCACCAGUGUGUGAAUAUUGGGCGUAGGUCUGCAGGAUUGAAAGAAAACACGUACACAGAUCACCCGUUUUCAGCAAGUGCCACCAAGGCGUUACUGAGAUCUCCUUCUAUACCCGAGGCAAAAGCCGUGGAAAAACAACAAGGCAGGUGAAAAUCCCCAGCCAGGAAAACAGGAAAAGUCUGUGUGGUGAGAGUUCCGGCCCAAUCAGGGGCAUAAACAACUUCUUAACAACAACAAGCAGGAAGGCUCGGUGGGGAGGAAGGGUGCCAUGGAAAAUCCCAGCCCCAAAUCAGGGGCUAAGAGCAGCUGCCGAGGGUGUAAACAUUUUCUUGCUAUAGCAGGCUAAAAGGCUCAGCGAGGGGGAAGGGAAACACCAAGGUAGGGCCCAACAUGCUUAAUCCCCGAUCUCAUCUCCAGACAUUCUGAAUUGUUAGGUCUGAGCUGGGGCUGGAAAAGUUGAACUUUACAAUGGCACUCUCCCUUUUCCCCAUCCUCUCACAGCAGUGUGUUAGGGGGUUUAACUGAGGUGUGAAGACUGAUCUUGAGUAUGGGCCACACCAUAGUGAAUAGAACAUCAACAUGCAUUUCCCUCUACUUCCUGUUUGUGGAGAUAAUAUGACCAGCUUCCUCAUUUUCCUCUGCCUUGUCUUCCCCAGCAUCAAGACAGUGUCCUCCUAGACUGCAAGCCAGAACAAACCCUUCCUUCUUUAACUUGCUUCUGUCAGGUAGUUUGUCAUAGUGAAGAAAAAGUAACUAACACAGGGAGAGAAUUCAAAGAGUAUAGAAAUGUGAGGCCUAAAAACGGGGAUAUUGCUGAGUCUGUUCCUGAAAGCCAUGACUGAAGCCUGCCGGCCUCUACUGAUGUCAUUGCUUAGGAGCUCAGCUACUCAGACUUUAGUGCAGGGCUUCUGCAACCUUACUGUGGUUUCAGAAAUAGUAACAAUGUUCUGCUCUCAGAGCUCUUGGAGUCCCCUUCUGAUUAGUGAGUGUUCUCUGCACACACGUCCCACACCACUCACCUGGGUUCACUCGUCAUUUCCACAUUGUCAUUCCUGCCUUUUUCUUUCUUUCUUUGGUGUAUGUGUUUGUGUGUGCAGAGGACAGAGGGAAACAUCAGGUGUUCUUUACACACGCACGCACGCACACACACACACACACACACACACACACACAGAGAGAGAGAGAGAGAGAAAGAGAGAGAGAGAGAGAGAGAGAGAGAGAGAGAGAGAGAGAUUCAAGACAAGAAAUGCAGAAAAGAGAGAAUUUCAUACAGGAGAGAAAAAGAAACAAAGAAUGUCCUGGUGAAGUAGUCUGGGAUCUAUUGAAAAAAAGAAAAGUAAAAGAGAAAUGUUCAAUAUUUGAACAUGUGGAAAUUUAUUUUGAAAGACAUUUUAGAGAAAAAUCAAAGUUUGUAAAAAAAAGUAUAGAUAAAGUAUACUUAAGGGAAAUAAAGCAGUUGGGCAGUUAUGGUUACACCUUUAAUCUCAGCACUCAGGAGGCAGAGGCAAGUGGAUUUUUGUGACUUUUGAGGUCAUCUUGGUCUACAGAACAAGUUCCAGGACAGCCAGGGCUACACAGAGAAACCCUGUCUUGACCAAAACCAAAACCAAAACAAAACAAAGCAAAAAGAAGGAAAGAAAUAUUGUUAUUAUCCCCAGGAAAUGAAACAGGCGAACACAAAUUCUUAGACCUACUUAAGCAUGACAUUCGUACUAUUACACAUUCUCCAAAACAACACAAAUGAUUAAAAGUGACAUACUUGUCUAUAAAAGGAUGCUAAUAACUUAAUUACGUUCAACUUAGCUAUACUCACUUAAUCCCACGGUACCAGAAUAAACAACCAAAGCUUUGGAAAGUGGAGCCUGCACAGGAAGACUGCAAAAAUUGGCAGGGUUUAUGAUAACCCUUAAAGCAAUGUUUGACUGAAAAAUAAUUGUGGAAGAUACUUUGAUAUAAGAACAAAUAUGCAACAGUGGACACAUUCAUGUAGUGGGAUAAAGGUCACUGUAGAGCUGUCUCCAUAGAGGCCCUUUAUGAUCUUCAUUCUAUGUUGUCCUCAUGAUGGUUCACAGAACUUCUUCAUUGUCCACUCAAGACCUGGGAAGUUCACAACCUUCUCCUGUCCACAACCUUAGGAUCUAAUACAGGUCCUUGGGCUGAAGAGAUGUAUUCAGGUAUAAGCACUUGGGUGUCUCAAAACUUAGGCACAGUACCUUUCCCCGAAGCUUUGUGAUUUAUAACAUAAAGCAUAGCAUGUAAAUCCUAGAGUCCCUCUAGUAUUAUUUGUAUGUAUGUAUGUAUGUAUGCAUGCAUGCAUGUAUGUAUGAAUAUAUAUGUGUAUAUAUAUAUAUAUAUAUAUAUAUAUAUAUGUUAUAGUGUGUGUGUGUCUGUUGCUUCCACAGCCUGAAGAAAGGGGGAAGGAUGUGAGCAGGGUAAAGCUAGGACUGGACAAGGUGCUCUCUAGGUUGAAUUUGCUGAAGAAUCAGUGCUAGUCUUACAAACUCUCUAGAAAUAAGUAUAAACUUCCUGUAUAUUGUAGGAAUGCUAUAUAUGUGAAUAUAAAAGGAAAUUAUUAGACCACUCUCAUAGAGCAGAGGGUAUAGCUCAAGGGGUAGAGCAUCUGCUUCAGGUCAUUUGACUUCUGACCAGUGAGGUUCUGGUUCAAGUCUGGGUGCUUCCUGAUAAGUGAGUUUUUCUCCCCAGAGAAGCUGUUGCUCAUACUCAUUUUUGCUUUUCUUCCAUUUAUCCAGUUCUUCUGGACCUUUCGAAGGCUGAGCUGUUAGUUAUAGAAAGAACCUGCAUUCUAGGAAAGAGCCAACAGAGGGCUCACUGUGAAGUUCAUCCAGGUCAUAGUCACUCUACUAUGAUCCAGGUAGUCAUCCAGGAAGUGACCCUGAGGCUCACUCAGUGCAGGAAACCCAGUCUGAAGAAGCCUGAAUGGUUGAUGUGGUUUGAAUAAGAAUGUCUCCCCCAUAGGCUUAUAUAUUUGGAAGCAUAGUCACCAGGGUAUGGCACUAUUUGAGAAAGAUUGGGAGUUGUGACCCGAUGGACUGGGUAUGGCCUUGUUGGAGGAAGCAUGUCAUUGGGGGUAGGCUUUGGGAUUUUAAAAUCAGGACCAAUCUUCCCACCCCGCUGCCUGUUUGCCUGAGGAUCAAGAUGUAGCUGUCAGCUAUGGCUCUAGCACCAUGUGUGCUGCCAUACUAACUACCAAUGGGUUAAGCCUCUAAACUGUAAAUAAGGCCCCAACUAAAUGUAUGCUUUUCUACAAGUUGCCUUGAUUGUGGAUCACUGUAGGCUUAGAAUUUUUCAAAACCAACUUAAUAAGUUUUCUUAAAUGUCUUAACCUCCCUUCUAGCCUACCACCCACUAGAGGUAGUAGAAAGGAAAGGUUAAUAGAGCAAAGAAGGAUGUGGGCCUGUUAAGAAAUAUUUCUUUGGAACAAAUCCAAUCUGCUUUGUUAGGAUAUCACCAGUUCAGUUCACAGGAAUCGGAAUCUGCACCUCGAUCCACUCACAAACACCAUUCACAAAUCAGCAAUGACAGGUUGAUCCAGAAGAAACUGCAAGGCUCUGACAAUUGGUCCAAGUCAGUGGAAGCAGGAAGACGCUGCCAGAACACCACUAGAAGUUUUUGGUGUGUUUCUUUCUAUGAAGUUACGACAAACAAUGACCAACAAAGAAUGGUAAGGCAUACCAACACCACAUUCAGCAUCAUCAGCAAAGACCAGCAUCAGCAAAGCCCAACAGUGACCACAAAGCAAGGCACACCAAUACCAUCCAGCAGCAUCCAGUGUUUGUUGUGCUAUAUUUAUAUCCUUUCCAAUCAUCACUUCUUCUCUCAGGCAUCAGCUCUAGGAAAACAUCACAUGCCUUUUUUUCCAGGCUGCUCCAAGGAAAACACUAUAUAUCUGUUCUUAGCAAAAUAUCUUUUCAUGUGUCUGCUUUAGCAAAAAAUCCUCUCAGAAGACAGUUUCUAGAGAAACAUCACAUGACACAACUGAGUCUUCAAAGAAACCAGAAAUUUCUACUUCAGAUCAUGGUAUUUCUUCACAGCAAUAGAACAAAGACUAAGGCAGGGAUUGAGGAGCUGGCUUCUUCCUCAAGCAACACUUCUCAUCUCUCUAGGGAUCUGCAUCACAUCCCCAGCUUGGGUACUCUGUCCUCUGCCUCCUGCCGCUUCUAUGGUAAUAUGACUCCUGGAUUGGUCGUCUAUUUGAAAGAAGUCUCUUUGAAGAAUUAGAACAAUGUCCAUGCUUUCUCUCUGUGUUUAAAUGGAUGUCCAGGAUGGGACAAGCUCCUUGAGUGUUCACAUAUCAUUUCAAUAUAAUUGAAUGAUUGAAUAGUGAACAGCAGAGUGAGCGCCCUUCUGAGCUCCUGGAGUUGCAAAGAUGCAAACACAGGGCCUAAACCUUUCAGCCAGGGAGGCUGUAGGUCCCAGACUGGUUUUCUUUCUCCUGGGUUCCCAAUUACCCCUUCCUUAAGACCUUAGCUUUGCCCUCAUCCUGCUUAUCACCAGUGAUGCCAUCGUGUUCUACAGAGGGUGCAGUGGUGUUACUUAAUCUUCCUUGUCAGCUAGGUUAGAUUUAAAACCAACAUUGAAACACAAACUUAGGUGUAUUUAUGAAAGUGAUUAAAGUAUAAUGUCACUAGCUUCUAUUAAAGCAAAGCUUCUACCCAGAAUCAUAGCCCCAUUAGCACCGUAUAGAUAAUCCCUGAAUACAAUUACCUAAUCAGCAUGAUAGAAACAUAGAAGAUAAUUUAAACAAAAGUUGAGAUAGAAAUAUAUGUGAAAAAUGAAUAUAGCAAGAGGCACAUGACUUAUAAUCCUUAUCUACAAAAGCUGGUCAGUUACUGAUUUCAAGAUUGGAUUAAAUUAGACACACUGUAGAAUAGUGAAUUUAUUUAAGGGCACACAGACAGACUAGAAGGUAGAGCCAGAAUGAAUCCAUCUUAGAAACAGGAAAGAUAUACCAAAAGGAGGAGGAUAUUUUUCUUGGUAAACUUUAAAAACAUUUCACUUCUAAAUACAAUUGUACAAGAUUCUUUGGAAAAAAAACAAAAAACAUUGUCUUAGUUACUGUUUUAUUUCUGUGAAAAGACACCACAAUGAAGGCAGCACAUAAAAGGAAACAUUUAAUUGGGUGCUUACUUCCAUUUUCAGAGGGUUAAUUCAUGAUCAUCACUGUGGGGAGUGGGAUGACUGGCAGGCAGGCAUGGUGCUGAGAGCUUACAGGAUCCACAAGCCUGAACCUUCAUCAGCCUUUGAAACCUCAAAACCUAACCCCAGUAACGCUCUUACCUCAAAAAUUCAAUACCUUCUAAUUCUCCCCAAACAAUUCUAAUAACUGGGGACCAAGAAUGCAAGCAUUUGAGCCUAUGGGGCAAUUCUUACUCAAAUCAGCACUCAAGUGUCAAAUUAAAACCAUCCAUGCUUUUGGGGUAGAUCUGCAAGUCAAGAUGGGACCCAUAGCUUCAGCAUUACUUAGUUUUAAACCAGAGGCCCUCUUUAUCUGCUAUCUUCCUGAUACUCCUCAGAGCUCGUCAGUGAACCACUCAGUCCUGAAGAGACAUUUUUACGAACUAUCCAGAAACCAACCUCAGAGUCUAACACACAAACCAUACAUGGGCUAGAGAGAUGUUUUCACAUGCAGGUACCUACCAUUUGUGGCCCAAAAUAUACCAGGGUCUCUUCAUACCAAGUGCUUGUUGCUUUACUGAGGAAGUCAGACAUAUAACUCUUUUAAAGACCCUUGUAUUAGCUUAUGUCCUCAUGCCUCCUCCAACUGUGCUGUUUGAACAGGCUGAGAUGUGGGAGAGUGCUCACAUGACAACAGAGGCAGAGUUGGAGACACUGUGGGCAGGACAGGAACCUCUCUGGGUUGUUUGUGGUGGCAGGAGUACUGGUCUUACCAAGUCUGGUGAGACAACAAAAAACUUAAGCUUUAGGAAUGUAGAAAGUGAAAGAUACUUACUACACAUGUCUGAGAGGGAAGGGAUAUAGCUCUGAGGUAGAAUAUUUGACUUCAGAUUAAGAGGUCCCUGGUUCAAAUCAUGGUGACCCCUACCAUAUAUUUAUAUCACACACACUCAGUUCUAUGUUUCUUUCUUUCAUUCUUCAGCAGAGCUUGGAGCUCCAGCCCAGCCGUUGAAUACCUGUCAUAUGAUGGAUAGUCUCCUGUUCUCUUCCUGCAGGCUGGGUGUCCUUCUUGUUAUUAAUAUCUGUCUCCCCUAUUCUGGCAUAUAUCUAUCUUCUUUGGUUCUCUUGAGUUCAUAAAAACAAGACAAAGACUACGACAGAAAAAUUCUUCUGCAGUUUUCCAGGCAAAGCAGUUAUAGAGGGAGACAAUGUCCGGGGACCAGAAAGGAAAGCCCAACUAUAAAAGUAUCUCUCUCCAUGGCUAUCUGGUAAACCUGUGGUCAAGACUAUGGAGACAAUCAGAAAACCAGGAGGUCUGUGUCAGGUGGACAUUUCCUCUGUGUUUCUCUCCCCCUUCCAGAGCCCACUGCUCACUUCCUUCAUGCUCAGAGGCUAAAGACUACUCAGCUGCUAUACAAGGCAGAGAGAGAUCCUGCAGUGUGGCUGCUGACAGUGUCAACUAUGGCUCUGAUCAAACUCUUGAGUGACAGCCCAUCUGUCAGGGGUACCUGGGUACCCAGGUGAAGGCAGUUGGCCAGCUUAGGAGCUAACCGAGGACAGCAGUGUGAAGUAGGCUCAGGGUCUGCAGGCUGCUCUUCUCCAUUUCCUUGGCUGAUGAUGCUAUUCAAGGACAGGCCUGGAAAGCUGCAGAGCUGAGGAAGGCAUCUCACCUAUCAGGUCUGGCAGCUUCUGGGAUAUAGGUCUGUGAGCAUCUGUAAUUUAACUUUAUAGUCAGUCCUACUAGAUCACCACUUAGAUGACAAUUAUUAACUGUGUACACUGGUACCAGUGGGGGUAUAGCUCAGGGGUAGAGCAUUUGACUGCAGAUCAAGAGGUCCCUGGUUCAAAUCCAGGUGCCCCCUUAUUUAUGUCUGGUUACUGACUUACCAUUCAUCUUAGGCAGGCUACCCAUGAUGUUAGAAAGUCUUCAUUAGCUGAGGCCUCUGGAAUCAAUGCUAUUAUGCUCCCAGUUACUGCCAUUGAUUAUUUGUUUGUUUUUUUAACACUCCAGAUUUUAUUCUCCUCCUGGUUCACCCUGCAAGGGUUUCACAUCCUACACCUCCUGGAUUAGGUUGGUCUGGAUUAGGUUGGCCUAUGGGCAUGUCUGGAGGGGAUUGUGUUGAGGACUAAGGCAAUGGAUUAUGAAGACCCAGCACUGUUCCCUAGGCAGGUAUGCUGAACUGUGUGAGUGCAGAAAGUGAGCUUAGCCCUGACAAGCAUGCGUGUAUUCAUUUUUCUCUGCUCUUAGCCAUAGAAGUGAUAUGACCAACUGCUUACCGUUCCUGCUGCCUUGACUUUCCUGAAAUAAGGGACUGUAACCUGAAAUUGUGAGUUAACUUUAACCCUGUUUACCCUCACUUGCCUCCUUUCAGGGCAUUUUUAUCACAGCAGCAGAAAUGAAAGUAUGACAUACCUUCUUCCAGUACCCCCCAACUCAAUGAGCAAUGGUCCAGUGUGGUCUAGGUGCCCAUUGAACGAUGGACUGCAUUCUGAAUUUCAAGACUCUGUUGGCAGGCUAAGAUGAUAGUGGACAGAGUCUGAGGCUGUGCCUGCAUGGAGAAAUGCUACCUGAAGUCAAAGACUCAUAGGAGGCAGAAGGCAUCAGCAGAGGUGCUGAACUUUUAAAGCCACUAACUCGCUAAUGUCAGCUGUUGAGGAGAUGCCAGAGGAGGUCUCUUUCUGCUUAGGAAGAUGGUUUGUUCCUUUUGUAAGAUUGGUACAUUAGGAUGUGACUGAAACAUCCAUUGGGCUGACUGGUUUGAUUCCAAAGUACAGGACCUAUAGGAUGCUCACUGCUGGAAAUGUAGGGAAUAGUAUUGAAAGUAUAUAACAUGGCUGUCAUGAUGACCCAUUAAGACAUAUAUAUAUGAACUUGCAGAGCUGAAAGGCUAAACUUCAGAGUAAAGCAAUGACGGUGUGACUAUCUGUGACAGGCUGUUCUUGCCAUCCAUUCUAUGAGAAGGUUUGACGUCCCAUGAGAACUGAGUGGUUCAGAACGAGAAUUCAGAGGCAAUGCAGAUAGAACUUUGCUGUUGGAAAAAGGGAAAGAGAUCUUUCUCCAUGGCAGGAGGCCUUGACUAAAUCAGUUCACAGAAGUAGAGAACCCAGAGCCUUCCCGUUAGCUACAUAUUGGCAAUGUAGUUGGAUGCCCCUUAUGAAGACUGAUUUGAGUGAAGUGAUGCCUGGUAAAUUCUCUUCAUGGAAAAGAGCAUCCAGGAAGAAUGAAGCCCACAGAAGCCCAAUGGGUCCAUAUAUGUGUCACUGAGCUGCAUUGUGACAAAUGGAGUCACAUCACUGGAACCUCAUGGUGUGGGAGCUCUGCUGACAAGCCUUGAUUCCCCGACCUGCCCCCAACAUCCCCAGGUCCUGACUGAGGAGAAGGCAGAGGCUCUGGCUUAUUGUAGGAAUUCAGAUUGUGAUUUGUGGUGGAAAAGAAACUGUGAGAUGAAUGAAUGGCCUCUGGGAGCUGAACAGGAAACAGUUUGGUCAGCUGGUGAUGGUUCUGGUUUAGUGACAUAUAUAGUAUAUUAUGGGAUCCAAUCAGGGUCACACAGGUGAGAUGCACCACGGAAACCUCACACCACAAGGGUGUAGCUCAGGUUAGACUAUUGAACUACAGACUUGGGUUCUCAGUUCAAAUCCAGCAGACUCCUGCUGAUGCGUCUCUUCAUUACAAGCCUAUGAUUGUCUCCUCUCUUCAGUGUUCUGCUUUCCAGUCACCUCCAAAACUGUCCCUCUAGGACCCUAUAGCUGCGCUUUGCAAACAUCAGAUAUCAAUCAUAAGUGAGAGUCCCAUCAAUGUUUAAUGAUCUGUGUCUAUUUCAGAAGGUCUUAAUUAGUUGCUCCAUAAACCUUCCAUUGUGGAGGGAUAGCCUGAAUCUGAGGCUGCUGAGUUAUUCUGAGGCUAAGUCAGUGGCUCACUUUGUCCCACUCUCCCCACUGUGCGGCAGCAAACCCUGUCCUUCAGUCUUUUUAUUUUUUUACAUUUUAUGAGUUUGGCUGUUUUGUCUGCAUGUUUGUCUGUAAAAUAUGUGGUUUCCUGGUGCCCAAGGUAACCAGAAAAGCAUUUCAGACCUCUUGGACCUGGACUUACAGACUGUUGAGAGAUGCCAAGUGUGUGCUAGAAAUCAAACCUGUGUCUUCUUCAAAGCAACAUGAGGUCUAAAGCAUCAAGCCAUUGCCCCAGGCUCCAGCCCUGCAGUCCUGUCUCAGCUUUCCACCCUUCAGUCUCUGUUUUCUUAGGAGACAAUUCUCUUACAUUGGUUUCCUUUCUUCUUUCUUUGUUCUUCAACCUAAGAAUCCUCUGUUCAGAGUUUAAAGUUCACAGUGAGGUGACUCUGUGACAAAAUGACUGCUUCUGGCCUCAGACAUCAGGAUAAGGGCCGUGUUUACCUUGUCCUGGUCACUUGUGCCCUACCAGGUUCCCCUCACACCACAUACAGUUUGUGUGUGAGAAGACACCCCAGUGUUUGGGAUUCACCAUGCAGAGGGAGGAGAUCUGUCAUCACCCAUCUGCUUGGUCAGCAGUGUAAGGUGCAUCCCAGCUGGUGUGUGUGUGUGUGUGUGUGUGUGUGUGUGUGUGUGUGUGUGUUCCUUGGAUCUCUGAUCUUUCAGUGGACCAAGUCUUCAUCAUAUUUAGAAGGGGACAUGAGGUCCCUAAUCCUAGGCCAUGGCACCUUCAGUAGAAAGAAAGGGUUUCUGCAUCUAGAACCCUGUAUGGAAGGAAGCCAGCACAGCAUGUGGAGUGGGCAGCAGGUAAAGUCCCUAAAGCAAGGAGAUAAAGAGAGGGCUGACUUCUGCAUCAACUGGAGGACUCCAGUGGAUCCUCCAGAGCUGGGGAUUGUGAAUCCCAGGCUGUGGGGGUGAAGCACACAAGCCACCAGGAUUCUAGGCAGCUCAUUGGCAUCCAAUGGUGGGUGUUGGCUGACACCUGCUCUAAACGGUCAGGAUCUGUGUGGUCAAAGUUGUGCUUCAGUGUUUGAAGUUUCACUGCACAGAACAAUAUUUAUUCCCACCAAAGACCUGAACUUUUCACAGGCAGCCUUUGCUAUAAUGCUGUGUGAAGAGCUAAGAGCCUGACAGGGCUGGAGCUCCAUCAUGUACCAUGGACAGCUCCACAGUCAGCUGGCUUUGCUGAAGACACACAGAGAGAAUGCAGACCCCUCCACUGUGUAGUGGCCUCAGCUAUUUCUGCAGGGUGGAUAGGAUUGCAUAAAACUGAAACUGAAAACAAUAAUCAAAUUACCAUAAUGCUGUCUAGUGUGCUGGCUCAGCAGACAUCAGCACUUGCUGCACGAGCCUGAGAAUCUAAGGUGGAUAUGUGUCAUAUGUGUAUUUUUCUUUCCCACAUGAAAAGGACAGGCAUAUAGGAACAUAGAUGUGAUCCAAGCAAUCGUACAGGAAGAUGGGAGUUGACAGGAGACUCUUUCUGGAAGAUCAUGAAGAGUUAGCCUGGAGUAUGUAUCCAUGUCUCAAGCAAUAAGAGAGACUCUGCUUCAAAUAAAGCAGAAGGUGAGAGCUGACACCUCUGACUUUCCUCUGAGCUCCCCACGUGCUCCAUGGUAAGCACAUGCCCUCACAAACACAUGAUACUUGCACAUCCACAGAGAUAUCCACACAUACACACACAUACAUGCACACUCAUUCCUACACACACAUGCAAUUGUAAGCAUACACACACAUACCAGUGUUGGGAAUUAUCAGUGCCCCUAUCUCUCUCUUUUUUUUCAAAAAUUUUUAUUAUAUAUUUCUUUACUUACAUUUCAAAGGUUAUUCCCCUUCCCAGUUUCCUGUAGAUAAGCCUCCAUUCCCUCCCCUCCUCCUCCCCCAUAGGGGUAUUCCCCCUAUACAUUCCCUUAUUGCCGUCCCCCAUAUUCCCUUGCACUGGGGGUCCAACCUUGGCAACACCAAGGGCUUUCCCUUCCACUGGUGCCUCAACAAGGCUAUUCUCUGCUACAUAUGCAGUUGGAGUCCUGGGUCAGUCCAUGUAUAGUCUUUAGUUAGUGGUUUAGUCCCUGGAAGCUCUGGUUGGUUGACAUUGUUGUUUUUAUGGUGUUGCAAGCUCCUUCAACUCUUUCAAUACUUCCUCUAAUUCCCCCGAAGGGGGUCCUGUUCUCAGUUCAAUGAUUUGCUGCUAGCAUUGACCUCUGUAUUGGACGUGCUCUGGAUGUGUCUCUCAGGAGAGAUCUAUAUCCAGUCUCUUUCCGCAUGUGUAUUUUAGCUUCACCAAUCUUAUCUAGUUUUGGUGGCUGUAUAGAUAUGGGCCACAUGUGUGUCAGGCUCUGAAUUCCUUGAGGCACUGCUCUAAACUUUGCUUCCAUAUCCCCUCCUGUGAAUAUUUUCCCCCUUUUAAGAAGGAGUGGGAGCAUCUGCAUUUUGGUCAUCCUUCUUCUUGAGCUUCCUGUGUUCUGUAGAUUGCAUCGUGGGUAAUUUGAGCUUUUGGGCUAAUAUCCACUUAUUAAUGAGUGCAUACCAAGUGUGUUUUUCUGAGAUUGGGUUACUUCACUCAGGAUGAUAUUUUCUAGUUCAUUCCAUUUGCCUAUGAAUUUCAUCAAGUCAUUGUUUUUGAUAGCUGAGUAGUACUCCAUUGUGUAGAUGUACCAUAUUUUUUGAAUCCAUUCCUCUGUUGAAGGGCAUCUGGGUUCUUUCAAGCUUCUGGCUAUUAUAAAUAAGGCUGCUAUGAACAUAGUGGAGCAUGAGUCUUUGUUGUUUGUUGGAGCAUCUUUUGGGUAUAUGCACAGGAGAGGUAUAGCUGGGUCCUCAGCUAGUGUAAUGUCCAAUUUUCUCAGGAACCUCCAGACUGAUUUCCAGAGUGGUUGCACUAGUUUGAAAUCCCACCAACAAUGGAGGAGUGUUCCUCUUUCUCCACAUCCUCACCAGCAUCUGCUGUCAUCUGAGUAUUUGAUCUUAGCCAUUCUGACUGGUGUGAAGUAGAAUCUCAGGUUUGUUUUGAUUUGCAUUUCCCUGAUGACUAAGGAUGUUGAACAUUUCUUUAGGUGCUUUUUGGCCAUUCAGCAUUCCUCAGCUGUGAAUUCUUUGUUUAGCUCUUUACCCCAUUUUUUAAUAGGCUGAUUUGUCUCUCUGGAGUCUAACUUCUUGAGUUCAUUAUAUAUUUUGGAAAUUAGCCCUCUAUCAGAUGUAGGAUUGGUAAAGAUCUUUUCCCAAUCUGUUGGUUGCCAUUUUGUCCUAAUGACAGUGUCUUUUGCUUUACAAAAGCUUUGCAGUUUUAUGAGGUCCCAUUUGUCAAUUCUUGAUCUUAGAGCAUGAGCCAUUGGUAUUUUGUUCAGGAAAAUUUCCCCAGUGCUCAUGUGUUCAAGACUCUUCCCCACUUUUUCUUCUAGUAGUUUGAGUGUAUCUGGUUAGAUGUGGAGGUCCUUGAUCCACUUGGACUGAAGCUUUGUACAUGGUGAUAAGCAUGGAUCGAUUUGCAUUCUUCUACAUGCCGACCUCCAGUUGAACCAGCACCAUUUGUUGAAAAUGCUGUCUUUCUUACAUUGGAUGGUUUUAGCUCCUUUGUCAAAGAUCAAGUGGCUAUAGGUGUGUGGGCUCAUUUCUGGGUCUUCAAUUCUGUUUCACUGAUCUACCUGCCUGUCUCUGUACCAUUACCAUACAGGUUUUUUUUUUUUUAACACUAUUGCUCUGUAAUACUGCUUGAAGUCAGGGAUGGUGAUUCCCCCAGAAGUUCUUUUAUUGUUGAUUAUAGUUUUCGCUAUCCUGGGUUUUUUGUUAUUCCAAAUGAAUUUGCAAAUUGCUCUUUCUAUCUCUAUAAAGAAUUGAGUAGGAAUUUUGAUGGGGAUUGCAUUGAAUCUGAGGAUUGCUUUUGGCAAAAUGGCCAUCUUUACUAUAUUAAUCCUGCCAAUCCAUGAGCAUGGAAGAUCUUUCCAUCUUCUGAGAUCUUCCUCAAUUUCUUUCUUCAGAGAUUUGAAGUUCUUGUCAUACAGAUCUUUCACUUGCUUGGUUAAAGUCACACCAAGAUAAUUUAUGUUAUUAGGGACUAUUGUGAAGGGUGUCAUUUCCCUAAUUUCUUUCUCAGCCUGUUUACCCUUUAAGUAGAGGAAGGCUACUGAUUUAUUUGAGUUAAUUUUAUACCCCGACACUUUGCUGAAGUAGUUUAUCAGGUUAAGCAGUUCUCUGGUGGAACUUUUGGGGUCGCUUAAGUACACCAUCAUAUCAUCUGCAAAUAGUGAUAUUUUGAUUUCUUCCCUUCCAAUUUGUAUCCUUUGAUCUCCUUUUGCUAUAUGAUUGCUCUGACUAGGACUUCAAGUACUAUAUUGAAUAAGUAGGGAGAAAGUGAGCAGCCUUGUCUAGUCCUUGAUUUUAGUGGGAUUGUUUCAAGUUUCUCUCCAUUUAGUUUAAUGUUAGCUACUGGUUUGCCGUAUAUGGUGUUUACUAUGUUUAGGUAUGGGCCUUGAAUUCCUGUUCUUUCCAAGACUUUUAUCAUGAAGGGGUGUUGAAUUUGUCAAAUGCUUUCUCAGCAUCUAAUGAAAUAAGAUAAAGAACCAUGUGGUUCUUAUCUUUGAGUUUGUUUAUAUAGUGAAUUACAUUUAUGGAUUUUCAUAUAUUAAACCAUCCCUGCAUGCCUGGGAUGAAGCCUACUUGAUCAUGGUGGAUGAUUUUUUUGAUAUGCUCUUGGAUUCAGUUUGCAAGAAUAUUAUUGAGUAUUUUUUACGUCCAUAUUCAUAAGGGAAAUUGGUCUGAAGUUCUCUUUCUUUGUUGGGUCUUUGUGUGGUUUUGGUAUAAGAGUAAUUGUGGCUUCAUAGAAGGAAUUUGGUAGUGCUGUGUCUGUUUCAAUUUUGUGGAAUAGUUUGGACAGUAUUGGUAUGAGGUCUUCUAUGGAGGUCUGAUAAAAUUCUGCACUGAAACCAUCUGGACCUGGGCUUUUUUUGGUUGGGAGACCUUUAAUGACUGCUUCUAUUUCUUUAGGAAUUAUGGGGUUGUUUAGAUGGUUUAUCUCUUCCUGAUUUAACUUUGCUACCUGGUAUCUGUCUAGAAAAUUGUCCAUUUCCUCCAGAUUUUCCAGUUUUGUUGAAUAUAGGCUUUUGUAGUAGGAUCUGAUGAUUUUUUUUAAUUUCUUCAGAUUCUGUCCUUAUGUCUCCCUUUUCAUUUCUGAUUUUCUUAAUUUGGAUACACUCUCUGUGACCUCUGGUUAGUCUGGCUAAGGGCUAUCUAUCUUGUUGAUUUUCUCAAAGAACCAGGUCCUCUUUUGUUGAUUCUUUGUAUAGUCCUUUUUGUGUCUACUCGGUUGAUUUCAGUUCUGAGUUUGAUUAUUUCCUGCCUUCUACUCCUCUUGGGUUUAUUUCUUUUUUGUUCUAGAGCUUUAAGGUGUGCUGUCAGGCUGCUGACAUAUGCUCUCUUCUGUUUCUUUUUGCAGGCACGCAGACCUAUGAAUUUUCCUCUUAGGUCCACUUUCAUUGUGUUCCAUAACUUUGAGAAUGUUGUAUCUUCAUUUUCAUUAAAUUCUAAGAAGUCUUUAAUUUCUUUAUUUCUUCCUUGACCAAUUUUUUUGUGGUUUGCCCUGAAGUUAUCUGUAUUUUGAUGCUAAUUAGACUGCCCCAAGGACAGCUGCCUAGUCAAGGACUCAGAACUCAGGUGACUUCACCAGAACCACCUCCCCAUUGAAUUUGUAAAGUACAGGUGAGGGGCAGGUACAGGAUAGAAGGAGGCCUGUCAUUGGAGGAGAAGGAAGGAUGGGUGGGAGAGAAUUUUGAAGGAAGAGGAGGAGAUGAGGGAGAAAGGAAGAGACAGGAGGGAGAGAGGGGCAGAGAAGCCAUGGCAGGACAAGAUGGCAGGUGAUGUUAAGAUUCUGCUCUGUGUAUUUACAGGUUGUUAUUAAUGUUCUCAAGGGAUGGAUGGUACUGGGCUUUGUAUGUUUCAGUGGGUAAUUAUAUCUUAUGAAUUGGGUCAAAGAUUAUUGUGUUGUGUGUUCUUUUAUGUGAGGGUUUGAAUGUAGGAAAGUGUGCGGCUGGGAUGUGUUUCCGCCAAGAUAUCAGCAGAUAUCUUGGGACACUGCGGUGCGGACCUAGCGGGGUAAUAGACAACAAUACCUAUUUUAUUUUUAUAUUAUUACAACAACACAAGUUGUCAUUGAGUAGAGCAUUGUUCCACUUCCAUGUAUUUGUGGGCUCUCUGUCAUUAUUAUUGUUGUUAUUGAAGACCAGUCUUAGUGUGUGGUGAUCUGAUAGGAUGCAUGGGAUUAUUUCUAUAUUCCUGUAUCUGUUGGGGCUGUUUUGUGGCUGAUUAUAUAGUCAAUUUUGGAAAAGGUUCCACGAGGUGCUGAGAAGAAGGUAUAGCCUUUUCUUUUAGGAUGGAAUGUCCUAUAAAUAUCUGUUCAAUCCAAUUGGUUCUUAACUUGUUAGUUUUUCUAAGUCUCUGUUUAAUUUCUGUUUCCAUGAUUGGUCCAGUGAUGAGAGUGGGGUGUUGAAAUCUCCUACUAUUGUCAUGUGAGGUGCAAUGUGUGCUUUGAGCUUUAGUAAGUUUUCUUUUAUGAAUGUAGGUGCACUUGUAUUUGGAGCAUAGAUAUUUAGGAUUGAGAGUUCAUCUUGGUGGAUUUUUUCCUUUGAUGAAUAUGAAGUGUCCUUCCUUAUCUUUUUUAAUGACUCUUGGUUGAAAGUCAAUUUUAUUUGCUAUUAGAAUGGUAACUCCAGCUUGUUUCUUCAGGCCAUUUGCUUGGAAAAUUGUUUUCUAGCCAUUUACUCUGAGGUAGUAUCUGUCUUUGUCACCGAGGUGUGUUUCCUGCAUGCAGCAAAAUGCUGGGUCCUUUUUAUGUAUCCAGUCUGUUAGUCUAUGUCUUUUUAUUGGGGAAUUGAGUCUGUUGAUGUUUAGAGAUAUUAAGUAAUAGCAAUUGUCGCUUCCUGUUAUUUUCGUUUUUAGAGGUGGAAUUAUGUUUGUUUGUCUUUCUUUUGGCUUCAUUGCAAUGAAAUUAUGUUCUUGCUUUCUGUACGGUAUAGUUUCUCUCCUUGUGUUGGAGUUUUCCAUCUAUUAUCCUUUGUAGGGCUGGACUUGUAAAAAGAUAUUGCAUAAAUUUGGUUUGUCAUGGAAUAUUUUGGUUUCUCCAUCUAUGUUAAUUGAAAGUUUUGCUGGAUACAGUAACUUGGGCUGUCAUUUGUGUUCUCUUAGGGUCUGUAUGACAUUUGUCCAGGAUCUUCUGGCUUUCAUAGUCUCCGGUGAGAAGUCUGGUUAAUUCUUAUUGGCCUGCCUUUAUAUGUCACUUAACCUUUUUCCCUUACUGCUUUUAAUAUUCUUUCUUUGUUUUGUGCAUUUGGUGUUUUAACUAUUAUGUGACAGGAGGAAUUUCUCUUCUGGUCCAAUCAAUUUGGAAUUCUGUAGGCUUCUUGUAUGUUUUUGGGCAUCUCUUUCUUUAGGUUAUGGAAGUUUUCUUCUAUAAUUUUGUUGAAUAUAUUUACUGGCCCCUUAAGUUGGGAGUCUUCACUUUCUUUUAUACCUAUUAUCCUUAGCUUUGAUCUUCUCACUGUGUCCUGGAUUUCCUGUAUGUUUUGGGCUAGGAGCUUUUUGCAUCUUACAUUAUCUUUGACAGUUGUGUCAAUGUUUUCUAUGGUAUCUUCUGCCCCUGAGAUUCUCUCUUCUGUCUCUUGUAUUCUGUUGGUGAUGCUUGUGUCUACGGCUCCUUGUCUCUUCCUUUGGUUUUCUAUAUCCAGGGUUGUCUCCCUUUGUGCUUUCUUUAUUGUUUCUAUUUCCAUUUUCAAUUUUUUCACCUGUUUGGUUGUCUUUUCCUGUAAUUCUUUCAGUGAUUUUUGUUUCCUUUCUAAGGGUUUCCUCUCUAAGGGAGCUGUUUGGCAGAAUCAGUUCAGUCCUAGGCACAGACCAGAACUGCGGUUACCAGCGGCUCUCUGUUCCUAUAUCCCUCUGUCCAGAGGCACUGUGCAGUUUCCCCUUGGAUCAGGAUUGUUGGUCAAGGUGUGCAGAGGUGGCAGUCUGUCCUGCGGCCUCAGGAUGUCUGCGCUCCUGGGUUUUCCACUCUUCCCCACCGCCCCUAUCUCUCUUGAAUACUAAUUUUCAUUAGUAGUGAGUCAGGUUCCCUUGGGCACUGGGGAUGAGAAGUCACAGUGCAUCCCUGGUGAGGCAGUACAUGGAUCAGGUGCUAAUGAGGAGAGUCUACACAGGUACAAGGGCAUAAGUCACUAGUAGAACAAUUGCUUACAGUUCAUGCAAUUUCUGACUCAAGACUGUACCCUGUUGGCCACACUGCUGGCCAUGUCAUGCUCCUGAGACCAUCCACUCUCUGAUUCUUACUUCUCCACAAUUCCGAGGGUGGAAGCCAUUCUUCAUGUUAUUUCUUCUGAUACAUCGAGGGAUUGGCAAAUGGAGACCAAGAGGGAGGAAGAUGGGAGACAAUUGAAGCUACUCAAUCCUUGCUCAGGAAGGCUGGCACAAGAGUCCCUGAAUCAUUAAUGUAAACUGUGCUAUGACUUGGUUAUUAUGAGUUGUGGCUCUGAUUUAACCAAUGUUUUUUCACAUCUGUAGCAUGGAGUUGCUUAUAUAAAAUUAAUAGGUAUAAGGAAGUGUAUCUGAAACAUCCCUAGAGCUUUUUAAGAGAUGCAGGUAUGUCAUCCUAAGGUAUUGUUCGCAGAGGAUCUGGUUUAGGUUUUAUUGAGUAGGGACUAAGGACAUUUGCUUCUCACCUACCUUAUCCCACUUGCCAUAUGUUUUGAACCCAACAAAAGGGGGUUUCAGCUUCAUAACUGGCCAUGCAGGUCAUUAUUGCAAUUCACAGAGUCCACAGCUGUUGAUGACUUCACAAAGGACUCUCCAGUUCCACCCAAGCCAGCCGACAAGGAGGAAGCUUCCUGGUCAGUACCUUCUUGGUUCCCCAUGUCCCGUGACUAAUAUGUCUGGUGUCUUCACCAAUAGCAUUUAGUGAGUGUGCUGGUAGGCAUCUGAGAGCAAUGGCAGUACCCUAGAAUGUCCUGGGGAUCUCAGAAUCACCAGAGUUUAAUGGAAUUGCCCUACUCAGGGGAUUAGGCUCUUCAAGAAGCCAUAAAUUGUCAAAUAAGAAAUCCCAGUGCCAGCAAUAGGGUCUUACCGCCGGGUUGUGGAGAAGAACCAAUACACAAUGUCAUGGGCAUAACUUUUAAAAACAUUGGCAGAAAGAUCCACUCCAUUAGAUGGUACUCAUUUCUAAUUCUACUAACAUGGUCAUGAACCUGGGUCUAGCCUGAAGAGCUCACUUUACACCAAAGGGACCAAAGAAAAGGGAGAUCUUCAUCCCUCUGCUCAUCUGACUGGGUCUCACCAUCUCUCUGGAUGUGAUGGGAGCUGCUAGAGGCAGUCUAAACACACCAUGUAACCUUUGACUUCCAGGAUAAGCUUGACCAGGGUAUAGAUUCCACCAUGGACAGUCUGUGUCCCUCCUGGGACAGAUCAUCUCUCUAGCAGAAGUUGUUUUAUAAAACCAGAGAAUUCUGGCCUUAAUGACUGCUGAA